CCAAACUCCAAAAAGUGAUUUUUUAUUUCUCUUGUCGAAUACUCACACACGGAGACCUACACAAGCAGGUCGUCGACCCUGUCUCUCUCCCUCCUCGUCCUCGCCGGAGACAACACCGGAGACCCGCCAUGGCCGCCGUCGCCGCCACCGCCGAUCCUCCAACCUACUUCGUCGGCCGUCCGUUGCACUACGAGGAGCAACAACCGCAGGAGCCGGUGCCGCCACCGGCCGUCGACGACCAGAACGCUGUGAAGGCACAAGUCCCUGGUUACUACGCUGGGCCUACGCAAGGUAGACGAGACACUGCCACGGAGCACAGCAACCCUGCUGAGAGUACUGCAGUUCAGCGGAGCCAAGAACCGGGCUUCCUUGCCAGAUGGUUCGGAUGCUUCUCCGGCAGCAGCGGGAAUGCGAACUAGACCCAGGACAUCCCCUGCUAGGAGGCUCGGAGCUCAAUGGAGGACUGGUCAUCUUGAUGGAUUGCACGAGGCCUUCAGAUUCUCUUGGUUCUAUGAAAUUUGUUCUUCGGCGUUUCCGUUGUCAAUUUGAACCAUAUAAUACAGACUCAAUGAGGUUGUUCGUUGUGUAUACCAAAAGGAUUUCUUGCUAUUGUACUGUCUAUUGCAUGAGGAAUUGGGGCAUUUCACUGAACAUUUA